rnacentral:rRNA from 1 species
AACGAACGCUGGCGGCAUGCCUUACACAUGCAAGUCGAACGGCAGCGCGGGGCAACCUGGCGGCGAGUGGCGAACGGGUGAGUAAUAUAUCGGAACGUACCCUGGAGUGGGGGAUAACGUAGCGAAAGUUACGCUAAUACCGCAUACGAUCUAAGGAUGAAAGUGGGGAGUCGCAAGACCUCAUGCUCCUGGAGCGGCCGAUAUCUGAUUAGCUAGUUGGUGGGGAAAGGCCUACCAAGGCAUCGAUCAGUAGCUGGUCUGAGAGGACGACCAGCCACACUGGGACUGAGACACGGCCCAGACUCCUACGGGAGGCAGCAGUGGGGAAUUUUGGACAAUGGGGGCAACCCUGAUCCAGCAAUGCCGCGUGAGUGAAGAAGG